CAGGCAUGCUGGAGCCCCGCAGCGGCGCCCGGACCCCACGAACGUCUCUUCAAAGAGAUGCCGGGGUCCGAACACCGUCAUUUCAUCCGGGGCUUAU
rfam:Rhizobium sp. Root1212 contig_3, whole genome shotgun sequence.